UACGGAGGGUGCAAGCGUUAUCCGGAUUCACUGGGUUUAAAGGGUGCGUAGGUGGGCAGUUAAGUCAGUGGUGAAAUCUCCGGGCUCAACCCGGAAACUGCCAUUGAUACUAUCUGUCUUGAAUAUCGUGGAGGUAAGCGGAAUAUGUCAUGUAGCGGUGAAAUGCUUAGAUAUGACAUAGAACACCAAUUGCGAAGGCAGCUUACUACCCGAAUAUUGACACUGAGGCACGAAAGCGUGGGGACCAAACAGG
rnacentral:rRNA from 1 species